GGCACCGGUUCUCUUACGAUCAGCGAAGUUAAGCAACGUCGACACUGAUCAGUACCUAGAUGGGUGACCGCUUGGGAAUACCAGCUGAUGCAGG